AUUGAACGCUGGCGGCAGGCCUAACACAUGCAAGUCGAGCGGAUGAAGGGAGCUUGCUCCUGGAUUCAGCGGCGGACGGGUGAGUAAUGCCUAGGGAUCUGCCUGGUAGUGGGGGAUAACGUCCGGAAACGGGCGCUAAUACCGCAUACGUCCUGAGGGAGAAAGUGGGGGAUCUUCGGACCUCACGCUAUCAGAUGAGCCUAGGUCGGAUUAGCUAGUUGGUGGGGUAAAGGCCUACCAAGGCGACGAUCCGUAACUGGUCUGAGAGGAUGAUCAGUCACACUGGAACUGAGACACGGUCCAGACUCCUACGGGAGGCAGCAGUGGGGAAUAUUGGACAAUGGGCGAAAGCCUGAUCCAGCCAUGCCGCGUGUGUGAAGAAGGUCUUCGGAUUGUAAAGCACUUUAAGUCGGGAGGAAGGGCAGUAAGUUAAUACCUUGCUGUUUUGACGUUACCAACAGAAUAAGCACCGGCUAACUUCGUG
rnacentral:rRNA from 1 species